CGCCUUUACAUUGCAACCAUUUUGAUUUUUUUAAUCAAACGAUGAUAAAUAUUUUGAAAAUUUGAUACAUUGCGAAAUCUUCAACAUUCUAGAGACAUACAUACAUAUGUAUGUAUGUAGAUGUCUUGCAUGUUAUGCGACAAAUGGAUCUUCCGACAUACAUAAAUAAAUGGAUGGCUGUAACCUCGGAAUAAUUUAAUAGCAUUCUCUAUGGACAUCACUCAACUCAAUGUCGUCAGCACUAAAGCAAUUCCGUUUUUUUCUUUAAUCUGUUACUUAGGCUGCCAACGGAUUGUCCAAACUCAUCAAUCAGCUGAUUGAUCACAGCAACAUGAUGCUUAAGAAUAGCCUGAAGCUGUUAAAAUGCAGUCAUACUUCAAUCGACCGACCAUUAUUUUUCUUUUAUUAUUAUUAUUUGUCAUAUGUUUGGGUGGAUAGAAGUCCAAAAUAAAAGACAGAGUGCAACUCAUCGAUAAACCAAAAACACAGAGCCACCAGUAA
rnacentral:sRNA from 1 species